rnacentral:rRNA from 1 species
GACGAACGCUGGCGGCGUGCCUAAUACAUGCAAGUUGAGCGAUGAAGAUUGGUGCUUGCACCAAUUUGAAGAGCAGCGAACGGGUGAGUAACGCGUGGGGAAUCUGCCUUUGAGCGGGGGACAACAUUUGGAAACGAAUGCUAAUACCGCAUAACAACUUUAAACAUAAGUUUUAAGUUUGAAAGAUGCAAUUGCAUCACUCAAAGAUGAUCCCGCGUUGUAUUAGCUAGUUGGUGAGGUAAAGGCUCACCAAGGCGAUGAUACAUAGCCGACCUGAGAGGGUGAUCGGCCACAUUGGGACUGAGACACGGCCCAAACUCCUCCGGGAGGCAGCAGUAGGGAAUCUUCGGCAAUGGACGAAAGUCUGACCGAGCAACGCCGCGUGAGUGAAGAAGGUUUUCGGAUCGUAAAACUCUGUUGGUAGAGAAGAACGUUGGUGAGAGUGGAAAGCUCAUCAAGUGACGGUAACUACCCAGAAAGGGACGGCUAACUACGUG